GGCAAAUUAGUGUAAUCAGUCAGCACACUUAUUGCAAUAAUAAGAGGUAUGGGUUCGAUUCCCAUGCGUACUA
rnacentral:tRNA from 1 species